UACGUAGGGUGCAAGCGUUAAUCGGAAUUACUGGGCGUAAAGCGUGCGCAGGCGGUGAUGUAAGACAGAUGUGAAAUCCCCGGGCUCAACCUGGGAACUGCAUUUGUGACUGCAUCGCUGGAGUGCGGCAGAGGGGGGAUGGAAUUCCGCGUGUAGCAGUGAAAUGCGUAGAUAUGCGGAGGAACACCGAUGGCGAAGGCAAUCCCCCGGGCCUGCACUGACGCUCAUGCACGAAAGCGUGGGGA
rnacentral:rRNA from 1 species